GAUGAACGCUGGCGGCGUGCUUAACACAUGCAAGUCGAACGAGGCUUGUCGACGGAAAUUUUCGGAUGGAAGACGGCAUGACCGAGUGGCGGACGGGUGAGUAACGCGUGGGGAACCUGCCCCAUUCCGGGGGAUACCAGUUGGAAACGACUGUUAAUACCGCAUAAGCGCACGGGAAGGCAUCUUCCAGUGUGAAAAACUGAGGUGGAAUGGGAUGGCCCCGCGUCUGAUUAGCCAGUUGGCAGGGUAACGGCCUACCAAAGCGACGAUCAGUAGCCGGCCUGAGAGGGCGACCGGCCACAUUGGGACUGAGACACGGCCCAA
rnacentral:rRNA from 1 species